GGGCCUAUAGCUCAGUUGGUUAGAGCACACGCCUGAUAAGCGUGAGG
rnacentral:tRNA from 2 species